UCUCCUCUCUAAGGAGGCAUUACAACAGACGGCUGCUGAACUUGCUUGGCCCAUAAAUCUGUGUCGAAUGGAUCAAAAAUUUAAUCAAAAGGAGCAUGAAAGCCACAGUAUUGGUGCUAUAUCUGGCAAUCAUGAUUGUGGAAGGAACUGAUUGAGGGUCCCACUUCUAUAAGAACUUGAGAUGUCUCUUGCAAUCAGCUGUAUGGAAAGUUAAGUUCCACCGUUAACUAAUUAAUAUGCAUAAGGAAUAGUUGGACAAUAAGGAAUGGGGAACAGCAAAUGCCUGAAAUCACAAAGCAAUGAGGUUCCCUUUAGAUGUAAAACUGUUAUGUAUAAAUCUAGCAUCAGAAUUAUCCACUGUAGUUUAAAUGCUAUCAUCCCCAUUAUAUCUGUAUGGAGUUACUUGUGAUGAAUUAAUUAUUAUCAAUUUAUUCAUUUUCCGAUUGUGUAGCCAGUGAAGCUGACUGCAGGCUCACAUUGUUGAUAAUCUGUUCAGUGUUUGUAGUCCGAAUAAGACUAAUUACUAAACUUCAUUAAGUGUACAUGAGUACUUUCGGUAACUGAAUUACACUGCUCGAGUCAACAAUUCAAUCAUAACAUUUAUUUUAAAGAAAAUUGUAUUGCUAGAAUAAUUGCGUACAGAUUCAGUCAGUAUUUAUUAAUGAAUUACAGUUAUUAGCCAUAACAAUGUUAUUAACUUAUAAAUGAUAAUGAGCAAAGCAAUGUUUAAACAGAAUUUUAAGUCAAUUUGAACAUGACCAACAUUAAAUCAAAACACUUCACAACAUAGGGACAGUGGAAGAUAUGAAAUGAUCGAAGGACCUUGGUACCCAAGAAUGAUACCCUAUAGGAAUUUCCUACUAUCGGCCAGGUGCAGAGAACAAUGUUUAUCUAUAUUACUUAGGGAUAGGGAUAGGUGUCACAUAUGAUUUAAGCAUCAGCCUAAACUGUACCCUUGAAAUUUUCAGUGAUCACCAUGAAUUAAUUCAGAUGGCACACCGUGGAGAAUGACUGCAAGCAAGUCUCAAUAACAGUGUGUACCAACAGGAUGUCCACCAACUCUGCGAAGAUAUAGCCUGAUCUGCUAAUGCCACCUCCUUGACCACUGAGGAUGAGAGUACCAAGGCCUCGGCAAGGCUGCUAUCUUGAUGCUUGCCAGCUCUGAUACUGACAUCUUGCAGUAAAUGUUAGCCUUAGGACAUUUGGGAGCAGAAGCUGGCGAGCACCUCACUGUGACAGUUCUGCAGCUGGUCGAGGAAGAAAUGUCCCAAGCUGCUGACACUCCUAGGACAGCUGGAGGUCAGGCACCUCCUCAGGUCCUGGCAGAAGACGACCCAGUGGGUUGAACAUCCGGGACUUUGUCCAGCUGCACAGGGAGGAGCACAGGAGUGGCAGAUAGGUGUAUGGGAGAUGACGGCCUUCAUUGCCCAGCAGCACAGGAGUUCCCCUACACAAUGGGGAACCAGUUGUCCCGGGGUUGUAACUGUUGGGCUGCCCCCAUGGACAGGUUGUUGACUGACAUGGAGAACCAGGUCCAGCUUCAGGGGCUGCUGGAGAGGCGCGCACACUUGUACUCCAUUGCCCCAGCUGCUGGUCUUCAGGGCUGAAGGAAUAGCAACUGGGCAUGGAGAACCUGGUCCAUAUUCCAUGUGUCCCUCCUCACAAGGAGCCACGGCAAUGCCAGAAGAUACCUGCCUAGCCCCUGAGCAGAGUCCUCUCAGGGCACUCCAGACGUAGCUAUGCCCUCCACCCUACUUUCAAAGAUGUUAAUCUUCUGCCAUUAAGUGUGCCAUUUCAAUUAUGUGAUAUUCUUCUGCAUCAAGAACCUCUGCAGCAUCCCAGAUUAUGGCUGCUGGCUGUCAACACCAAUUAUUUAAAUUUUGGAGGACAAAUUUGGCAGAAUAACAAGUGCCUUGGAUGUUUGGGUUUGAAGUAACAGGGUUGCGAUUGUCAUAAUGCAGAAUAUACACAAGCUGUCGACAAUUCAGGAUGCUGAGCUAUUUUUGUUCAAUGCUUCCCUAUGUUCAGCAAUUUGUUUUCAGAGAUGUAUUACAUUUAUUUAACUUAGAAGAAUUAUGGAGAAUUGCAUAUUCAUUUUACCUUUGCUGCUUGUGCAAAUAAAUGGUAUUCACAGAGCGCCAAAUAAUCGAUAAUAUAAAUUUUAAUAAGCUUCACUCGUUGUAUAAAUGUGUUAAAUUUUAGAUUGGAUUGUACUACAUGCAGUUUUCAGCAAAAGAAGUUUUUUGCUUUUGGGGAGGUGCCUACAAAGUUGCAAUGUAUUCUUGUAAAAGUAUAUAUAUUUAUUUAUACAAGAGAUGUGAACGUCACUGGCAAAUCUAGCACUUAUUGCCAUUCCAUUGAUCAUUCCAUUAUACUAUAUCCUGCACAAGUGACAGAUUCAAGCUGUUUUAGGAUGUCAAAGAGCCUGUAUACAAUCUCUUGCAAGCAGCAAAUAUUCUAUCCUGCCACAUUACACUGAUUAAACAACCGUGCUUAAAUUUCUGUAGAAAAUUAAACAAUUAGUCAUUCCAGUGAAAGCUCAAAGAAUUCCCAACCUUUAAGCUCCGGAAAACCAGUUCCUUUUGGGUUCAUACUUAUUAGUUGUUGGUUUGUUUUAUGGGCUUGGAAUGUUCGGAGAGACCUUAUUUUUAAACACUUUUGUCUCAAUGGUUGAUAAUUCCAAACUAAAAUCUUAAAAUUUGUUACAUUAUUAUGCAAAUUACUUAAAAUAUAGAUUUCUACUGAGUUCUUGUGUGUCAGUGGUAUGUAUCUUUGCAUUCCAUGAUGAUUAAAAUUUAGACAGCCCUACUCUACAAUAGCCAUUCACAGCAAUUCCAGACUGGAUUGUUGGAAGAUGUUGAAUCGAUAAAAAUACAUGGCUAACAAUCCCAAAGCAACGAAUCUAACUCUGGCUUAGCACUGUAUCUGUCUUCAGCUUUGACCAUGAAAUGUUUUUUUUCCACUGCUUUGUUGUAACUAAUUUAAGAGCUAUCGAAUAUCAGAGUCAACAAGUUCACUUAAAGUAUUUACCAAAUCUGUUUGAUUUUUCUAAUUGGACAACAAGUAUUGUUUUAAAUUUUAAGACUAUUGAUCACGAAGAAGGAUAUUAACAUUGCAUGUGAUAUGUACAUUUUUCACUAGAAAUUCAUCGGAAGGUUCUCCAAGACAAAGUGGGAUAAGACUACUUUCUCCAGGGAGUUUCUCACCUCCUUACUUAUAUGAAGGGUCAGGCCCUAACUCUAUAUUUAGGCUGUAGUAACACAAUAAUUGUGAAACAUCUUAGCAGAGUAACUGCAGACUUGUGCUCCAAACUACCAUUGCUCGUAGCCAACUUAUUCUAGUACAGCAACAAUGCAUCUACCCAGUAGUGCGCAAAUUGUUUGUGGGUACAGUUAUGAGGUUUGAAAGAUUAUUAUAUUUUAUGACCGCUGCUUUAAAUUUGAAGUAAAUGAAGAGGGUCAUGUGAUCUAUGCUGAAGUCUGCCUAAUGGUAAACUUAGCAAUUUGAUUGUUUGAUAUCAAUGGAGGCUUACGUUAGUUUACAAUGAGAAGGUAAAACAUAUUUGCACACAGAGGAAAUGGUAGUUCCUGAGCCUACAAUGAGUAGAAUCUCAAAGUCCCACAAAGUUGUUAAAGAUACUGAGCUGUCAACACUUGUGCUGUAAACAAUCCAUUUACUUCAAACAUUACAGCGAGUUGGGAUCAAAGAUAGGUAAUUAGCAUUUCUACCUCAAUGUAGGGUAAUGUAUUUUGGGGGAGGCAAUGGCUUAGUGCUAUUCUCACUGGAAUAUUAAGUCAGAGACCAAGGCAAUGGGGACUCGGGUUCAAAUCCUGCCAUGGCAGAUGAUGGAAUUUAAAUUCAGUCUGGAAUUAAGAAUCUAAAUGACGAUCAUUAAUCCAUUAUCAUUUAUCAGAAAACCCACCUGGUUCACUAAUGCCCUUGAGGGAAGGAAACUGCCAUCCUUACUUGGUCUAGACUUCAUGUGGCUCCAGACCCACAGCAAUGAGGCUGACUCUUAACUGCUUUCUGGGCAAUUAGGCCUAGCCAAUGAUGCCCACAUCCCACGAAUGAAUAAAAAAUAUUGUCAUUGAAACGAGGUUUCA